rnacentral:rRNA from 1 species
AUACGUAGGUGGCAAGCGUUGUCCGGAUUUACUGGGUGUAAAGGGCGUGUAGGCGGAGAUGCAAGUCAGGAGUGAAAUCUAGGGGCUCAACCCCUAAACUGCUUUUGAAACUGUAUCCCUUGAGUAUCGGAGAGGCAGGCGGAAUUCCUAUGGUAGAGGGUGGAUGCGUAGGUAUUAGGAGGAACACCAGUGGCGAAGGCGGCCUGCUGGACGACAACUGACGCUGAGGCGCGAAAGCGUGGGGAGCAAACAGGGUUAGAUACCCUGGUAGUCCACGCUGUAAACGAUGAAUACUAGGUGUGGGGGGACUGACCCCCUCCGUGCCGCAGUUAACACAAUAAGUAUUCCACCUGGGGAGUACGAUCGCAAGAUUGAAACUCAAAUGAAUUGACGGGG